rnacentral:rRNA from 1 species
UACAGAGGGGGCAAGCGUUGUUCGGAAUUACUGGGCGUAAAGGGCGCGUAGGCGGCCUUCUAAGUCGAACGUGAAAUCCCCGGGCUCAACCCGGGAACUGCGUCCGAUACUGGAAGGCUUGAAUCCGGGAGAGGGAUGUGGAAUUCCAGGUGUAGCGGUGAAAUGCGUAGAUAUCUGGAGGAACACCGGUGGCGAAGGCGGUUCUCUGGGCGAUUACCUGACGCUGAGGAGGCGAAAGUGUGGGGAGCGAACAGG